GGGAGCCCUAGAUUGGGCUACGGGUUGCUGAGGAAACACCGGCCUCCAGGUCCCAGGGAGACCCCGUUAAGGGGUAGGGGUAGCACCCCUAGCAACUACACAGAAACGAGACUGGCAUGAUAGCAGAUGAAGAUGAUUUGAUGGUAACCCAAGUAAUUGGGUUACCUAAAUGAGAGCUAUCAUGCCAGUUGAAACGGUAGUCUCUCCUGGAGCAAGUGGGGAAAAGAUGAGAAGGGACCCGAUUUUCCCCGAGACGCUAAGUCAAAUCCCAAAAAUACAGAAGCCGGGUUAUGCUAGGGCUCCC
rnacentral:RNase_P_RNA from 16 species